CCAGUUUAACAACUCUGUUCACUGUUCCUAUUGCACAGUGGGCUCUUUGACGCAACAGAAAGAGCUGCUUUUUUUUCUUUUUUUUUUUUUUCCUUCUUUUUUUUUUUUUUUUUUUUUUGCUUCCUCUUAAAUCCGCCUGGCCAAUUUAAAGCUUGUGGAUAUUUCUUCCCCCUCGGGGACAGCUUAUGUGAGGAUUUUCUUUUUUAACAGUUCAUUCUGUUAAACCAUUUUUUUUUCUUGUUUGCUGUUAGAAAAUGUUGGAGCUGAACACAAGGCUUUCAUUGCAGGAGGCCAGCUUUUAUAGUGCAUCCAUAGGAAGCGUCUCCACUACAGCCUUUCACCACACAGGAGACAGACUGAGGAUGUAGGCAGCUGACAAAUGUGAAAGCAAUGAAGAGGUGUUCCGAGGUUGACAGCGCUUUUCAUAGUACACGCAUUUUCUGGGAAGGGCAUAAGAAGGGAGAUAAACAAGGGACGAUUUUGGCAAGCUGAGAAGAAGCUGUGGCAGAUAAAGAUGUUCCAAAGACAAGAUCACAUCAAAAAGGUAAGAGCACCAACUUCAGCCUGUCCUUU
rnacentral:lncRNA from 1 species